GCCCGAGUGGUGGAAUGGCAUACACAACAGACUUAAAAUCUGUCACGCGCAAGCGUUUGCGGGUUCGAAUCCCGCCUCGGGUACCA
rnacentral:tRNA from 1 species